rnacentral:rRNA from 1 species
UACGUAGGGUGCAAGCGUUAAUCGGAAUUACUGGGCGUAAAGCGUGCGCAGGCGGUUUUGUAAGUCAGGUGUGAAAUCCCCGGGCUUAACCUGGGAACUGCGUUUGAAACUACAAGGCUAGAGUGUGGCAGAGGGGGGUGGAAUUCCACGUGUAGCAGUGAAAUGCGUAGAGAUGUGGAGGAACACCGAUGGCGAAGGCAGCCCCCUGGGUUAACACUGACGCUCAGGCACGAAAGCGUGGGGAGCAAACAGG